UUGCCCACUGACAAAGACAUGAUCAGUCUAUAAUUUUAAUGGUAGGUUUAUUUGAACAGUGAGAGACAGAAUCACACCUUCAAAGAAUAGGCCAGAGGACCAACCAUGGAGAAUAGUAAGACACUUCAUUAUUUCUAUUUAUAUAACUACGCUAUAUUGUUUGUCCUCAUGUGUCUGUGCAUGUUUUUCAGUAUAAAGUACUCUGCAGCCACUUAGUGUGUACACCAGGUUAUAUCAGCUGUGUCGGUGAACCCCUCCCGCAUCUGAACUGGCUGAAACAGAGGGCACAGCAUGAUCAGAGGUAUGUUUUGAUGUGAGAGAGGGUGCCAACCCCCAGUCCCGUCAUCACCAUCUCACCUGCUCUUAAGAUAACCAUCAGGCCAACUGGGGGCCCAAGGCUGUUAGGAGACACCGCUAGAGACACUAUUAUGUAAUUGUGAUGAACUGAGAGAAUAUUAGGCUAGCACUGUGAUUCAUUAAUCAUAUGCUGCCUUCCCUGCUCCUCUGUUCUUACCUCUUUCCCUUUCUGUCUUUUACACGCUUUCUUACACCUCUCUACCCACCUCCUC